UACGGAGGGUGCGAGCGUUGUCCGGAAUCACUGGGCGUAAAGGGCGCGUAGGCGGCCUGAUAAGUAGGGGGUGAAAUCCUGCGGCUUAACCGCAGGGCUGCCUUCUAAACUGUCAGGCUGGAGCACAGUAGAGGCAGGUGGAAUUCCCGGUGUAGCGGUGGAAUGCGUAGAGAUCGGGAAGAACAUCAGUGGCGAAGGCGGCCUGCUGGGCUGCUGCUGACGCUGAGGCGCGACAGCGUGGGGAGCAAACAGG
rnacentral:rRNA from 1 species